rnacentral:rRNA from 1 species
UGGGGAAUCUUCCGCAAUGGGCGAAAGCCUGACGGAGCAACGCCGCGUGAAUGAAGAAGGCCUUCGGGUCGUAAAGUUCUGUCUUUAGGGAAGAAGUCUCUUUAUGUGAAUAAUGUAGAGAGGUGACGGUACCUGAGGAGGAAGCUCCGGCUAACUACGUGCCAGCAGCCGCGGUAAUACGUAGGGAGCAAGCGUUGUCCGGAAUUACUGGGCGUAAAGGGCGCGUAGGCGGGAUAUUAAGUUAGGUGUGAAAACUCCGGGCUCAACUUGGAGACUGCACUUAAAACUGGUAUUCUUGAGGACAGGAGAGGAAAGUGGAAUUCCUAGUGUAGCGGUGAAAUGCGUAGAUGUUAGGAGGAACACCAGUGGCGAAGGCGACUUUCUGGACUGUAACUGACGCUGAGAUGCGAAAGCUAGGGGAGCAAACG